CCGGUCGGCGCCAGCGUUUAAUGGCGGUCCUCGCUUCGAGCUCCGGAGGAGGACUGCUCCGCGAGUUUGGGUCUGACCCGCUACGGCGAGCGGGGGACCCCUAAAAUCACAGGCGCUGAAGCCUGUGAACAAGGAGACUCGGUGGGCACCUUUUGCGCCCCCCGGUACUGUGAAAGAGCCUUUUUAAAGGCUACGGAGCGGCAUCGGGGGUGAGCGCGGUGCUGAGAGUCGCAACCCAGCCCGUGGAGUGAAGCCGCGUCGCCAUGAACGGAGAGCGCCGAUUUCUUCCUGAACCAGAAAUUCGACUGUAAACCCCGUGAGUAAGACGGAGGGACUGAACGGGACAUUUAAAUUUAAAUCCUGAAAUUUGGCUGAAAACGGGAAAGGCAUAAAUUAAGGAAGUCUGCCUCCCCGAUCUGCAUGGCAAUUAAAGCAACG